rnacentral:rRNA from 1 species
UACGUAGGGUGCAAGCGUUUGUCCGGAAUUAUUGGGCGUAAAGAGCUUGUAGGCGGUUUGUCGCGUCUGCUGUGAAAUUUCGGGGCUCAACCCCGAACUUGCAGUGGGUACGGGCAGACUAGAGUGUGGUAGGGGAGACUGGAAUUCCUGGUGUAGCGGUGAAAUGCGUAGAUAUCCGGAGGAACACCGGUGGCGAAGGCGGCUUCCUGGACCGACACUGACGCUGAGGCGCGAAAGCUAGGGGAGCAAACGGG